CUUAUGGUGAGAGCAGCGGCCCUGGUGGAAGCGUGGUAGCCCCUAGAAGGUCCAGGAUGGAACACAGAAGCUUUCCCUUGGGAUAUGUGAGUGCUCCAGCAGUUGUAAAGAGAGCUCUGAACAUAUGUGAGUGAGGAGAGCAAUUGAGGCCUUUGGAAUGAGUACACAUCCAGGAGUGAAGAAGACAAGCUCAACUGCCAUUCUCUGAGCAGUUCAAGGCAUACUGAGUUGCGGGAGUUGUGUGGUGGUCCACUCUGACUGCAAGCACCCCUUUCUUGAACCGAACAGAGUCAAGUGGAAUCAAAGGACAUUACCUGUUGAUUCUUGGGCAAGGCCCAGAAUUUGGUGGACAUACUUAAAGAAGAAAGGAAUCUUCAGCUAAAGUGUCUACGAUCAAUUCAGAUUUGGAGGGCAUGGAUCUUCUGACAGUAGGGGCCAUUCUAGGAUUUUUUGGUUGAAGAGAUGAACUUCAACUUGGUUCCAGAUGGGUGGUCCAGCUAUUCUGCUGACAACAUUUUUCAGGGCAAGGCUUUUGCUACUGGAAUGAUUUAAGGAAGAUCCCUCAGUGUUUCAGAGUAAAGAUAUUUCUAAAGAAGUACCUGUGUCAUUGCCCAUCUUGAAGAUUGACUUUUAUGGAUUGCUCAAAUACUGAUAUCAGCUCAAUGUCAAUAUAUACUCCUACAUAUAAAAUCCAUCUUCUAAUCAUAAUCACUAGGUUUUAACCAUUUAAGGCCAUGAGGUGUGAGGUCUUUUGAGAGUGAAAGAACUCAUAUUAAUCCAGCUCCUGACUCCUAAAAAAACAGUAACUCUUGUAAUUAAAAUGGGCAGAGUCCAUCAAGAAGCAGUGUCCAGAAGCACUGGGCCAUGUGGCGAGCAGCAGUGUCACCAGGAAACAUGCCGAGCUGGGUCAGGAACUGCGCAAGGAGGAGGAGACACUGCUCCUGUUGAAGGCAGCCCUCGCAUGACCUGCUGAAUCACAUCAAGGUUGAAGCAUUGGCCCUCCAAUCAAUGAUUAGUUCUGGGAGAGGGGAUGAGGUGCUGUCUUCUCCAACUUCUCCAACUGUGCCUGAACAGUCACACGUCAUGUCAGUGCAUAUAGAGAAUGAAGCAUCAGUCAACCAAACUACGCUGGAGUGGAGCAUAGAGUCCUGUGACAGAAGAGGAGGAGGAAGAGAAAGAAGAAUCAGAUCCCUAAAGGAGGGAAAAAGCCAGGAUUCAUUAUACAAAUUAAAUUUCUAAGUCUCAGGCUCUUUCUCCCCAAGGAAAUCAUCUUGCCAUGAGCCCUAGGGCCUGCUUGAAUGGAGAGCAAGAACUAUAGGAGGAUGUGUAGCUGCAAAAAUUUCUCAUCAAUAACUCAAUCUUCAGAACGUUAUGACAUACAGAAAAUCAAAGAUGCUGUGUCUUAGCAUUGAGCAAUAUGGGUGGUGCUAUGUCUGUAGUCUGGUCAAAUUCAGUAACUGUGUUCAAAACAAAAUUUCCUCUGGAAUACUAUUGAGAAAAUCUGGCAUUUGCAAAAAGGGCAGAGUUUAAAUAUGAGCCAGUCUUUCCAAUCAACAAUACCUCUUUUAAGAAAACCAACUAACAGCUGUUUGCAUGCCGUUGAAUCCUUGUGAGCAGUUAGGCCACAGUCUAGGACAGAAAGAUGACACGGGGAAGGACUGAGGGCCAUCUGAGAACAAAAGUUGUUGCUACUUCUCAGAGGCAUUGAGACACACUGCAUGCUGUAGACUGCUUUGUGUAACUGUUGUCACAUCUUGCUUGAGAUGUCAUUGGCAGAAUGUUCUUAAAAAUAAAUUAUAGAUAAAUAGCCA
rnacentral:lncRNA from 1 species